rnacentral:pre_miRNA from 1 species
GGGGGGAGCGCAGAAUCCUGGGCUGUGCCCCCCAGUGCCAUGGGAUCUGGGGCCUGCGCCACUGGAAUGGUGCUCCCUGGGCCAUGCAGCCCCCU